rnacentral:lncRNA from 1 species
UACGAACCGGUAGUUGUAAGUCCUAUCUUUGUGGUCUUCUACCUACUAACCGAUAGAUGUAAACUCCAUGUUCUCCCCUUUGUGGAGUCACCCUUUGUGCUCAUCCUAAUUGAUGACGGUUGCUUUUUCCGUGGUUUUCUACCUACGAACCGGUAGAUGUAAUCCCCUCUUUGUGGUUAUCAUUAUCCAGUUCGGUAUUGAUAUGCCUUUCACCUUUCAGAUAUUUGCUCCG